UACGUAGGCAGCAAGCGUUGUUCGGAGUUACUGGGCGUAAAGAGUGCGUAGGCGGUCCAUUAAGUUUGGUGUGAAAUCUCCCGGCUCAACUGGGAGGGUGCGCCGAAAACUGGGGGGCUUGAGUGUCGGAGAGGUACGCGGAAUUCCUGGUGUAGCGGUGAAAUGCGUAGAUAUCAGGAGGAACACCUGUGGUGUAGACAGCGUACUGGACGAUAACUGACGCUGAGGCACGAAAGCGUGGGUAGCAAACAGG
rnacentral:rRNA from 1 species